rnacentral:rRNA from 1 species
AACGUAGGACGCAAGCGUUAUCCGGAUUUACUGGGCGUAAAGCGCGUGCAGGCGGCCUGUUAAGUCGGACGUGAAAGCUCCCUGGCUCAACCGGGAGAGGUCGUUCGAAACUGGGAGGCUGGAGGGCAGCAGAGGAGUGUGGAAUUCCGGGUGUAGUGGUGAAAUGCGUAGAUAUCCGGAGGAACACCAGUGGCGAAGGCGGCACUCUGGGCUGUACCUGACGCUAAGACGCGAAAGCGUGGGUAGCGAA